rnacentral:rRNA from 1 species
GACGAACGCUGGCGGCGUGCUUAACACAUGCAAGUCGAACGGAAAGGCCUUUUCGGCGGUACUCGAGUGGCGAACGGGUGAGUAACACGUGGGUGAUCUGCCCUGCACUCUGGGAUAAGCCUGGGAAACUGGGUCUAAUACCGGAUAGGACCGCACUUUAGUGUGUGUGGUGGAAAGUUUUUUCGGUGUAGGAUGAGCCCGCGGCCUAUCAGCUUGUUGGUGGGGUAAUGGCCUACCAAGGCGGCGACGGGUAGCCGGACUGAGAGGUUGGUCGGCCACAUUGGGACUGAGAUACGGCCCAGACUCCUACGGGAGGCAGCAGUGGGGAAUAUUGCACAAUGGGCGCAAGCCUGAUGCAGCGACGCCGCGUGGGGGAUGACGGCCUUCGGGUUGUAAACUCCUUUCGCCAGGGACGAAGCGUUUUGUGACGGUACCUGGAGAAGAAGCACCGGCUAACUACAUG